GCAGGAGCUGAGCCAUCUUGUCAGAUUUCCAAGAAUCGUACAUGAGCCGCUGUCCUGGAAGGCAAAAGGCCAAAAAGGAGAGAAGAAUCGGUCCGCCGCAGAGCUCUUCAGAUGAAGCAUCAGAACCAGAACCAGAGGUGCUGGUGCUCGUUCCUCAGCCGUAAGCUGCUCGCGGUCCUCAUCUCUGUCGCCCUCCUUGCCGCGAUGCUCACGGGCUCCGUCACAGGAGUACCGGUGUACAUGGGCGGGAGAGUGGACGGCGUGUCGCCUCCGGCGCCGACCUCCAGCGGGAGUCCUCAUUCAGCUUCUGUUCUUCCAGACAAUGGCUAGUCCCAAGUCCGAACACGGUGUGGCAUCUCGACGCGACGUCUCCUUCUUCUUGUGUUCUUCCAACUCGAAACGGAGUUGUUGCCUUCUCCUCCCCCUUUUGUGUCCUGUGGCAACAUAUAUACAGACAUGUUCUUCGCCUGUUAGUUACCUGACGCA